rnacentral:lncRNA from 1 species
CUCGGAUUCAUCAGAUUCUCUACUUGCGUCAUUUGCAAUGGAAAGACCCUCCCACAAGAUUAUUGAUAUCAACUCUGGAGAAAAGAAUAAGUCUUACACCCGGCAUAACAACAGCAAAACCAUAUUCCUGCUGCUGUCAGUUAUGAUGCACUGAGAAAACUUCAGAGACCUAAACUUUUUCCAGAGAAGAGAAGCUUUACUGGUGUUCCAGCCCUAAGCAACCAUCUUUCCUGUGAAAAAUUCCCUCUCCUAGUACUUUAGUUCUGUGGAUCCAAAAUUUAUAGCAUUCUUCUACCACCACAGGGGCUAUAUGACAUUGACAGACAAGACACUUUUCAGAAAGACAGGUUGUUCUUUUGGGCCACAUCUAAGACAUCUUUGUCUAGCCAAAAGCCACAAAUAAUUUCUCAUUUUUUGGCUUCUGGAAGAUGUACAGUUAAAUGUUAUAUUUGGGACUGUUAUCUAAUUUGAUUAAAUUGCACUCUACAAUAUGAUAUUUGAAUUGAUGAAAAAUUAGUGAAUGUUAGUAUUUUUUAAAGUAGCCAAAUCUUGCAAUUUAUAUAUAAUAGAGAAGACUAGAAAAUCCCCCAUAUUUAUUUCCUCUUACUUCAUACUACUAAAAUUUGUAUUUAGGCAUUUGGUUUCUCAGAUAAACAUUACAUUCCCCAGUAUAUGGUUCUAUCUGGCUUGGUGACGACAUGAUGAACAUUAAGAUGUGAGCAGAAGUAAUACAUACACACUCUUUUUAAUGUCUUUAAUUGAAUGGGAUAUUGGCCCAUUUUUCCUUCCAGUUUAUUACACUGAAUAUUGACAUGUUAUUUUCCAAUAUUGAGACAAUCAAUGACAAGACUUUAAGAGUAACAAUGUAAAAAUUACAGAAGUUGUCUGAGUUUAUCAACAAUCCCCUGGAUUAGAACCCCCUACCAGUUCUAGGUCAUCUAAUAUAUAGACAUU